GUAGGCCAGAACUCCGCCUGAAAAGCGGAAGGUCGGCGGUUCGAUCCCGCCCCUGGCCA
rnacentral:tRNA from 6 species